rnacentral:tRNA from 1 species
AAGGGUGUAGCUCAGUAGUAGAGUGUGUGCUUAGCAUGCAGGAGAUCCUGGGUUCAAUCCUCAGUACCUCCG